AUGUACCUAUCCCACGAUGAUGCAUGGUGGACUGCUGACCAUUUUGAGGACAACCACAAUCACCCCGUGAUCAAAAAGUCGUCCCUAACAAAAUUCUUAUCAUCACAUCAAUACAUUCCGAAGGAGGAGUAGGACUUCUUGAGGGUUCUGCACGGAUGCAAUGAUGAGACUGCGAGGCAGAUGCAGCUGAUGUCAUGGUUCUACGAAAGCGCUAAAGACAUACCCUACACGACACAAGACAUUACUAAUCAAUGAGCUAAGUUCCUCUUAGAGCACCGCCACAAGGACGUUUGGAGCACAAUUGCGUACUUCCAAGAGAUGAGGGCCAAAGAUUCAUAUUUCUACUGGAGAAUCAAACUUGAUGAUGAGGACAGGGUUGAGAACUUGUUCUGGAUAGAUGGCGCGUCACGCAGGGCAUAUGCAAAGUAUAAUGACUGUUCGUCGUUUGACACAGCAUACAUGACAAACAUGUACAAGAUGUCUCAAUCCAUCCAGUUUGGGUGUGGCUUCGUUCGAAACGAACUAAAGAAAAACUUUGUGUGGCUGUUUAACACAUUCCUCCAUGCAAUGGGUGGUGUUGCCCCAAAAACCAUCAUCACAGACUAGGACUUUGCAAUGAGGAGUGCGAUCGACGAGGUCUUCUUGAACAUAAUACACAGAAAUUGCCGCUGGCAUAUAAUGAAGAAGGUGCAGGAGAAACUUGGAAAGCUUAUGGCUGAUGAUAAACCACUAAACAAAGCGUUCAAAGACUAUGUCGACAACAGCUUGACUGAGGAAGAGUUUGAAAACAAAUGGUGGGCAAUGAUGGAUGAAUAUGGCCAGAUCCACAACAAACAUUUUCACUGGCUGUGGGAAAAUAGGAAAUGUUGGGCCCCAGUGUACUACAUGAAGCAUUUCUUUCCAUUCAUGCAGACAACUGCAAGGAGCGAGGGAUUCAAUGUUGUGCUCAAGAAGUACGUGAACCCCAACAACUCAUUGAUUGAAUUCGCAACUCAAUAAACUGCAAUCCAGGAGAAAGUAAUGGUGGCUAUGGCGAAAGAGCAAGUGGACACAAUUUACAAAGAGUCAGACAUGUAUUCAUUGAACCCAAUCGAGUUGCAGAUGCGAGGGAUAUACACACAAAAUCUGUUCUCCAAGUUCCAGGUAGAGAUGAAGCUAAAGACUGCUUACGGAUGUGACACUUUGCAAGAUGGAACCUUCAGGAUGUGGUCGCUCCGAGGCAUACUACCAAAGUAUGGGGAUAGGGACUACCAUGUGCAGGCGAACAAGGAUGAAGGGGUAUACUCAUGCACUUGCUGCAAGUUUCAUUGCGAUGGGCUAUUGUGCGCACACAUACUACGAGUAAUGGAACAGAUUGGAGUCUACGAGAUACCGAGGAGGUAUAUCCUAGAUAGGUGGACAUGGGAUCCAGAAGAGGAUCUUGUUGAGCCUGAUUACCAAUAGCCAACAGUUAAGAAGGGUAUGACAGAGGAAGGAAAAAAUAUCAUGAGAUAUACAUCUAUUCUAAAUGAUUUCAAGGAACAAGCAAAAGACGCUUGCACAGAUAAAGAAAGCAAGAAAGGAAAAGAUGAGGGAAAAGAAGCACAAAUGUUUUCUUCACCACCGGGGACUAGUGCCACUGAAGGUGUCCCAGUAGCGCAUCAAGGAAGCAUUCCUGUCACCCAUGUGUCUGGCAAUAUUUUCCAGUUCCAGGGCUCACAUGCCGAGAGAUCCCAAUCAUCAAACGCAAGAGUGAUACUAGACCCACCAAAGUCUACUACGAAAGGGCGUCCAAGAGAGAAAAGAUUUCAGCACCCAUUUGACAUUGCAAAACCAAAAAAAGAGAGGAAAUGUAGAGUCUACGGGUCAACAAAUCAUGAUAAACGAAAUGUACCUCACCCAUCCCGCACUGAGAAACUUGAAGUGCAAAAAAGUUAG
rnacentral:rRNA from 1 species